CUUAAAACAUUGGUUCCCGUAUGAUCACCGAAGUUAAGCAACGUCGAGUCUUGUCAGUACCUAGAUGGUUGACCGCUUGUGAAUAUCGAGUGUGGUAAG